AAUCAUCUAUUAUAAUUAAAUAUAUUUAGUUUAGAUCUAAAAAAUUAUUGAUUAAUU
rnacentral:tRNA from 1 species